rnacentral:rRNA from 1 species
UACGUAGGGUGCAAGCGUUGUCCGGAAUUAUUGGGCGUAAAGAGCUCGUAGGCGGCUUGUCGCGUCGGCUGUGAAAACCUGGGGCUCAACCCCGGGCCUGCAGCCGAUACGGGCAAGCUAGAAUUCGGUAGGGGAGACUGGAAUUCCUGGUGUAGCGGUGAAAUGCGCAGAUAUCAGGAGGAACACCGGUGGCGAAGGCGGAUCUCUGGGCCUUGCCUGACGCUGAGGCGCGAAAGCUAGGGGAGCGAACAGG